AGUGAACGCUGGCGGUAGGCCUAACACAUGCAAGUCGAACGGCAGCACAGUAAGAGCUUGCUCUUACGGGUGGCGAGUGGCGGACGGGAGAGGAAUACAUCGGAAUCUACUUUUUCGUGGGGGAUAACGUAGGGAAACUUACGCUAAUACCGCAUACGACCUACGGGUGAAAGCAGGGGAUCUUCGGACCUUGCGCGAUUGAAUGAGCCGAUGUCGGAUUAGCUAGUUGGCGGGGUAAAGGCCCACCAAGGCGACGAUCCGUAGCUGGUCUGAGAGGAUGAUCAGCCACACUGGAACUGGGACACGGUCCAGGCUCCUGCGGGAGGCAGCAGUGGGGAAUAUUGGACAAUGGGCGCAAGCCUGAUCCAGCCAUACCGCGUGGGUGAAGAAGGCCUUCGGGUUGUAAAGCCCUUUUGUUGGGAAAGAAAAGCAGCAGGUUAAUACCCCGCUGUUCUGACGGUACCCAAAGAAUAAGCACCGGCUAACUUCGUG
rnacentral:rRNA from 1 species